UUUACAACUGAAAAAAGAAAGAAAGAAAGAAAAAGAAAGAAAGAAAAAAAG
rnacentral:ribozyme from 11 species